AAAGACCUUAUGCUUCUGGAGCGGCCGAUGUCUGACUAGCUAGUUGGUGAGGUAAAUGCUUACCAAGGCGACGAUCAGUAGUUGGCCUGAGAGGGCGACCAGCCACACUGGGACUGAGGCACGGCCCAGACUCCUACGGGAGGCAGCAGUGGGGAAUUUUGGACAAUGGGCGCAAGCCUGAUCCAGCAAUGCCGUGUGAGUGAAGAAGGCCUUCGGGUUGUAAAGCUCUUUCAGUUGAGAAGAAAAGGUUGCGGUUAAUACUCACAAUCCAUGACGGUAUCGACAGAAGAAGCACCGGCUAACUACGUGCCAGCAGCCGCGGUAAUACGUAGGGUGCGAGCGUUAAUCGGAAUUACUGUGCGUAAAGGGUGCGCAGGCGGUUCUGUAAGUCAGAUGUGAAAUCGCCGGGCUUAACCUGGGGGUU
rnacentral:rRNA from 1 species